UACGUAGGGCGCAAGCGUUGUCCGGAAUUAUUGGGCGUAAAGAGCUCGUAGGCGGUUUGUCGCGUCUGCUGUGAAAACCUAAGGCUCAACCUUGGGCUUGCAGUGGGUACGGGCAGACUAGAGUGCGGUAGGGGUGACUGGAAUUCCUGGUGUAGCGGUGGAAUGCGCAGAUAUCAGGAGGAACACCGGUGGCGAAGGCGGUUCUCUGGGCCGUAACUGACGCU
rnacentral:rRNA from 1 species